rfam:Lichtheimia corymbifera JMRC:FST:9682, FST 9682, WGS project CBTN01000000 data, contig: SCAF00098
AGGUAUAUGGCUGACUGGUAAAGCAUUUUACUUGAAAUAAAACAUAUGUGGGUUCGAUUCCUACUAUACCUA